GAAAAAAAUCCCAUUCUAUUGUGAUACGUUGUCCAUGUCAUCCCACAACAUGAUCAAUUUUUUAAAUUUGUUUGUUGGUUUUUGUUUGUUGAUUUCAUCUUGCUAUGGCUUACCAAACGUCCAAACUCUAUACUCAUUCAGGGCUCCAGAUCACGCAUUCGACCCUUACCGCCAUAGUUUAAACUACAACUUCAACGGAUAUGGUGAUCAGACCGACAGAAGUGGAAGAAAUCUUGAAUUUAUUUCAUAAUAAGCCUAUUUAAGUUUGAGCUUUCGCUUAUUAGUCGUUUUAUAUUUUAUUUUAAAAAUUCAUUUGUUUUCUAGCAAUAAACGUUCGCAGUUAUUAAAAGUUUGCCCUUUUAAAGUUGAUUUACAUCAAAUAUUAAGAACUUUAAUAAAAAAUAAUUAUAAAUAUAAUAUUUACAAAACAAUCAUUUCAUUAUAAAUUAAUAAGGUAUUUGUUAUCUCAAAAUAAAUUGUUUAGAUACAUAGAUUAACUUUAAGCUACUCUAAAAUUAAACUAUUGUAUAUAAUUGACACACACAGGUAGGUAGACAUAGUUGACAAGGUUAAUUUAAAUAACAAAUCAAAGCUUAACAAUAGAAAAACUCGACAGCAAAAAAACUGCAAUAAACAACAGAUGUCCCAUGUUUAAAAAACGGUGAACCAUAUUAAAAAAAAAACUAUUUUGCAUGUUACUUGUGUUAAUUCAUUCAAAAUCCCUAGGAGUAUAUAUACUGGUGUCAAUUGGGAAUCAGACAUAUUCUGCUCUCAUCUCUUCCCAGUGAGCUAAAGUAAAUAAAACCGCCAAGAUGUUUAAAUAUCUGUUCGCUUUAUUUGCUAUUUUGGCUCUCGCCUUUGCAGCACCAAAUCCUGAGGCUAAACCAGCCCCAAAGCCUCAAUUGGUAUAUAAUGCCCCAUAUGCAGCCUACUCCGCUGGAGUUCCAGUAGCAUAUAGUGUUUCUGGAGUAUAUCCUGCUGCGGCUGCUGCCAUUCCUGCCGCAUACACUUAUUAUUGAUAAGUGAAGGUUGAUUUAUUACAAACUACACAGAACGUAAAAGGAUUUGUAGCUUUUGUAUUGCCCUUAUAUAUUAAUGACGUUAAUUGUAAAUAAGUGUUUUUUAUAAAAAUAUAAAUGGCUUUUUAAAAAUAA